rnacentral:rRNA from 1 species
CGAGAAUCUAUGGAAAGAGGAUUCGUCCAAUUGAAAUAGAGGACAGUGGCGGACGGGUGAGUAACGCGUGAGGAACCUGCCUUUCAGAGGGGGACAACAGUUGGAAACGACUGCUAAUACCGCAUAACGCGUAGAGGUCGCAUGGCCUUUACGCCAAAGAUUUAUCGCUGAAAGAUGGCCUCGCGUCUGAUUAGCUAGUUGGUGAGGUAACGGCCCACCAAGGCGACGAUCAGUAGCCGGACUGAGAGGUUGAACGGCCACAUUGGGACUGAGAUACGGCCCAGACUCCUACGGGAGGCAGCAGUGGGGAAUAUUGGGCAAUGGGCGCAAGCCUGACCCAACAACGCCGCGUGAAGGAAGAAGGCUUUCGGGUUGUAAACUUCUUUUGUCAGGGACGAGCAGAAGACGGUACCUGACGAAUAAGCCACGGCUAACUACGUGCCAGCAGCCGCGGUAAUACGUAGGUGGCAAGCGUUGUCCGGAUUUACUGGGUGUAAAGGGCGUGUAGCCGGGUCGGCAAGUCAGAUGUGAAAUCCACGGGCUUAACUCGUGAACUGCAUUUGAAACUGUUGAUCUUGAGUAUCGGAGAGGCAAUCGGAAUUCCUAGUGUAGCGGUGAAAUGCGUAGAUAUUAGGAGGAACACCAGUGGCGAAGGCGGAUUGCUGGACGACAACUGACGGUGAGGCGCGAAAGCGUGG